rnacentral:rRNA from 1 species
CGUGGGGGAGAACGUAGGGAGCUUACGCUAAUACCGCAUACGACCUACGGGUGAAAGCAGGGGAUCUUCGGACCUUGCGCGAUUGAAUGAGCCGAUGUCGGAUUAGCUAGUUGGCGGGGUAAAGGCCCACCAAGGCGACGAUCCGUAGCUGGUCUGAGAGGAUGAUCAGCCACACUGGAACUGAGACACGGUCCAGACUCCUACGGGAGGCAGCAGUGGGGAAUAUUGGACAAUGGGCGCAAGCCUGAUCCAGCCAUACCGCGUGGUGAAGAAGGCCUUCGGGUUGUAAAGCCCUUUUUGUUGGGAAAGAAAUCCAGCUGGCUAAUACCCGGUUGGGGAUGACGGUACCCAAAGAAUAAGCACCGGCUAACUUCGUGCCAGCAGCCGCGGUAAUACGAAGGGUGCAAGCGUUACUCGGAAUUACUGGGCGUAAAGCGUGCGARGGUGGUCGUUUAAGUCCGUUGUGAAAGCCCUGGGCUCAACCUGGGAACUGCAGUGGAUACUGGGCGACUAGA